AAAGUGUCAAUAGUGAUAUUGAAUACAACGUGUUGUGUGUCGACGAUUGGAUUAACAAAAAAAAAACAUUAUGUCCUUUGGUAGGCAAAUUAAUUGAUAAGGAGGAAAAAGAUAAAUACAACUUACAUAGUCCUUCAUGAAUGGAACCGGGGUUGAACAACCGGACGGCCAGGAGAGAACGCAGCAGCACACAGCGGAAUCACUGGGUGAUCCUCGAGGUAUACCAGAUUUUCUUCCAUAAUUUGUGUUGAUCGAAUCGGCCUGCAUGCGGUGGUGUUGCCGCUGAUGGGCGAUGUUGAGUUUCCAAACAACAAAAGAUGAAAUAACCAUGCGGUCGUCCACUCGAAACUUGUAUCAGCAGUGCCUGGUGCCGCCGUGAUCCAAUCACGACCUUUCGCGCCGUGUUUACCGCCUGCGAUGCUGCGUGCGAUUCUCUGUUUGUGCGUCGUGUGCCUGGCUAUCCGGGUAUCCACUUUCGGCCA